UGUGAGAACGCCCUUUAACUCCCUAUAUGAACAGGAGCUGGUUUUUUGUCAACCCUUAGCCCAAGACACCUAGCUAUGCCACACCCACAAGGGAAUUCAGCAGUGAUUAACAUUGAACAUAAGCGCCAGCUUGAUUCAGUUAAAGUAAAAAGAGCCGGCAAAUCUGGUGCCAGCCGCCGCGGUUACACCACGUGGCUCAAAUUGACUUUACUCGGCGUAAAGCGGAUUUAAGAGAUCAACUUAUGGUGUCAAAAAAGCACUAAGCUGUGACACGCUUGUGCCUCAGAAGUCCAAAAACGAAAGCUACACCAACCCCACCCACUUGAAUUCACGACAGCUUGGAAACAAACUGGGAUUAGAUACCCCACUAUGCCUAGUCGUAAACUUUAACUUACACCUCAAUCGCCAGGGAACUACGAGCAAAGCUUAAAACCCAAAGGACUUGACGGUACCCCAAAUCCAUCUAGAGGAGCCUGUCCUAUAAUCGAUAACCCCCGUUAAACCUCACCACUUUUUGUUUAUCAGCCUGUAUACCUCCGUCGUCAGCUUACCACGUGAGCGUUAUUGAGUGAGCUUAAUGCCCUUACGCCCAACACGUCAGGUCAAGGUGCACU
rnacentral:rRNA from 1 species